rnacentral:rRNA from 1 species
UACGUAGGGGGCAAGCGUUGUCCGGAUUUAUUGGGCGUAAAGAGCGUGUAGGCGGCUCGGUAAGUCCGCUGUGAAAGUCGGGGGCUCAACCCUCGAAUGCCGGUGGAUACUGUCGGGCUAGAGUGCGGAAGAGGCGAGUGGAAUUCCUGGUGUAGCGGUGAAAUGCGCAGAUAUCAGGAGGAACACCUAUUGCGAAGGCAGCUCGCUGGGACGUAACUGACGCUGGAGACGCGAAAGCGUGGGGAGCAAACAGG